UGCAAGGUAGCAAUAUUUUGCAGUUGGAGCGGCGCAAGGGUGCGUAACACGUGGGUAAUCUGCCAGGAAGUCUGGAAUAACUUGCUGAAAGGCGAGCUAAUACCGGAUGUGACCAAUGGGGAGCAUUUCCUGUUGGUUAAAGUUGGGGACCGCAAGGCCUGACGCUUCCUGAUGAGCCCGCGGCCUAUCAGCUAGUUGGUGAGGUAACGGCUCACCAAGGCAAAGACGGGUAGCUGGUCUGAGAGGACGACCAGCCACACUGGAACUGAGACACGGUCCAGACACCUACGGGUGGCAGCAGUCGAGAAUUUUUCACAAUGGGGGAAACCCUGAUGGAGCGACGCCGCGUGGGGGAUGAAUGGCUUCGGCCCGUAAACCCCUGUCAUUUGCGAUCAACCGUUAGUAUUUAAAAGAUGCUGACCUGAUGGUAGCGAAAGAGGAAGGGACGGCUAACUCUGUGCCAGCAGCCGCGGUAAUACAGAGGUCCCGAGCGUUGUUCGGAUUCACUGGGCGUAAAGGGUGCGUAGGUGGCUGGGUAAGUCGGAUGUGAAAUCUCGGAGCUCAACUCCGAAACGGCAUUGGAAACUGCCCUGCUCGAGGUUUGGAGGGGGGACUGGAAUUCACGGUGUAGCA
rnacentral:rRNA from 1 species